CGGGCGUGUGCGCCAGACCCGCCGAAUGGAUAGAGUUUUCUUUGUUCGCCCAAGGCAUCACAAUCAGUACAAUUCAAGUAGUUCCAAACAAAAACAGAAUUUAUACAUAAAUUGUAUAAGGAAACCAUCAUAGACAUAAACCACUACGCUAUUACAAGCAUUCAUUCACAACUAUAUUCAUAUUUACAUUUUACAUUCUUCCAAAUACAAUCAACUUUAUUACAUUUUGUUUCAUUCUUUUUUUUUUAUA
rnacentral:lncRNA from 1 species